rnacentral:rRNA from 1 species
UACGUAGGGUGCAAGCGUUGUCCGGAAUUAUUGGGCGUAAAGAGCUCGUAGGCGGUUUGUUGCGUCGGCUGUGAAAUCCCGAGGCUCAACCUCGGGUCUGCAGUCGAUACGAGCAAACUAGAGUGUUGCAGGGGAGACUGGAAUUCCUGGUGUAGCGGUGAAAUUCGUAGAUAUCGGGAGGAAUACCGGUGGCGAAGGCGGCAUCCUGGACCAUAACUGACGCUGAGGCGCGAAAGCUAGGGGAGCAAACGGG